rnacentral:lncRNA from 1 species
GUGUCUUUUGACCAGCUUGUGUCUAAUCCUCUAUAUGACUUAGUGAAAUCAGUGAGAGACUUUACGACUUACAGAUCAAUUCUUUUCUUAUUCUUAAAUCAAUAAAAUUAAAUUUUUUAAAUUAUUAGGUCUUUAAAAUGAUACAGUUAUGGAGAUAAUUAGUUCAUAGCCCCCCAUUAAGGUAUGCGAUAAUGAGUCCAGUAUUCUAAAUAGGUAUUGGAGAUGCCACAUGUCUGGUG